rnacentral:rRNA from 1 species
GCCAGAGGUGCCGAGCGUUAGGCGGAAUCACUGGGCUUAAAGCGUGUGUAGGCGGAUCGUUAAGUACCUUGUGAAAUCCCACGGCUUAACCGUGGAACUGCUGGGUAUACUGGCGAUCUUGAGCCACCUAGGGGCAACCGGAACAAAUGGUGGAGCGGUAAAAUGCGUAGAUAUCAUUUGGAACGCCAAUGGUGAAAACAGGUUGCUGGGGGUGUGCUGACGCUGAGACACGAAAGCCAGGGGAGCGAACGGG